ACUAAGUUGGCAGAUAAAUGCGUGAAAUUUAGAAUUUCAAGAUAAAAUUAUAAUUUUAUUUAGUA
rnacentral:tRNA from 1 species